CUGCCCCUGCCCCAGCCCCACCUUGGCUCCCUAUCAGUUCCCCCUUUGGCUGUGAGAGCUGUGCGGCAGCCAAUCCUGGGGACAGGGCUCAGUCUGUGGAGCCUCCGAUGAUGCUGAGAGGGGCUGAAACUCCAGUAGCUGCUGCCCAAUGGUGGGGUGGAGGGGAGGGCUAGCAAGUGACAGGCGUGUGGCUGGGCGGUGCAUGGAGGGCUUGGAGGUGGAGGGGGGUCCAGGCUUCAAUCCUGCUUGAAGUGAAGGGGGAUCAAUGAGCUCAGAAAGUUUUUUGUUCGAGCAGAAGGCACCAGGAGACAUCGGCACUGCAUGGCCCUGCAGCCCAAUCCUGCACAGCCGGGGGAUGUACUGAGAGCAGCUCUACAUACACUGAGAUACCCAGAGUCCUGCGGGGUCUGACUGCCCCUCACUUUGCGGAUUACAAAAGAGGCAUCAUCCAGCCUAGAGAACAAAGUUACCAGACGCUGGAGGGGCUGCUGCUUCUUUACAGGUAGAGCUGGGGUGGGCUGGAGCCCUGGUAUGGUGAGAAAAAAGAAAGCUGCGGCAGGCUGCAGGUCCCAGAGCUCCUGUGAGUUGCUGGAGUAGAGGGAUCGCAUGUGGGG